UAGAGGAAGUAAAAGUCGUAACAAGGUUUCCGUAGGUGAACCUGCGGAAGGAUCAUUACCUAGAGUUGUAGGCUUUGCCUGCUAUCUCUUACCCAUGUCUUUUGAGUACCUUCGUUUCCUCGGCGGGUCCGCCCGCCGAUUGGACAAUUUAAACCAUUUGCAGUUGCAAUCAGCGUCUGAAAAAACUUAAUAGUUACAACUUUCAACAACGGAUCUCUUGGUUCUGGCAUCGAUGAAGAACGCAGCGAAAUGCGAUAAGUAGUGUGAAUUGCAGAAUUCAGUGAAUCAUCGAAUCUUUGAACGCACAUUGCGCCCCUUGGUAUUCCAUGGGGCAUGCCUGUUCGAGCGUCAUUUGUACCUUCAAGCUCUGCUUGGUGUUGGGUGUUUGUCUCGCCUCUGCGCGUAGACUCGCCUCAAAACAAUUGGCAGCCGGCGUAUUGAUUUCGGAGCGCAGUACAUCUCGCGCUUUGCACUCAUAACGACGACGUCCAAAAGUACAUUUUUACACUCUUGACCUCGGAUCAGGUAGGGAUACCCGCUGAACUUAAGCAUAUCAAUA
rnacentral:rRNA from 1 species